ACUCCUACGGGAGGCAGCAGUGGGGAAUUUUGGACAAUGGGGGAAACCCUGAUCCAGCCAUGCCGCGUGAGUGAAGAAGGCCUUCGGGUUGUAAAGCUCUUUCGGACAGAAAGAAAUCSUGSAGACUAAUACUCUGUAUGGAUGACGGUACUGUAAGAAGAAGCACCGGCUAACUACSUGCCAGCAGCCGCGGUAAUACGUAGGGKGCGAGCGUUAAUCGGAAUUACUGGGCGUAAAGCGUGCGCAGGCGGUUUUGUAAGACAGAUGUGAAAUCCCCGGGCUUAACCUGGGAACUGCAUUUGUGACUGCAAGGCUAGAGUACGGCAGAGGGGGGUAGAAUUCCACGUGUAGCAGUGAAAUGCGUAGAGAUGUGGAGGAAUACCGAUGGCGAAGGCAGCCCCCUGGGUCGAUACUGACGCUCAUGCACGAAAGCGUGGGGAGCAAACAGGAUUAGAUACCCUGGUAGUCCACGCCCUAAACGAUGUCAACUAGGUGUUGGGGGAGGAGACUUCCUUAGUACCGCAGCUAACGCGUGAAGUUGACCGCCUGGGGAGUACGGCCGCAAGGUUGAAACUCAAAUGAAUUGACGGA
rnacentral:rRNA from 1 species